CUCUUAAGUGAUGACGUGAUAGACGAAGUGCCACAUCAUCAUGUCUAAUCACUGACAUGUCAUUGAAGGUGAUGGCAUGACAAUGAGGUGUCUAUGACAAGGCAUGAUGAUGUGGCACUCUAAUUGUCACAUCAUCACUUAAUGGAA
rfam:Glycine max cultivar Williams 82 chromosome 7, whole genome shotgun sequence.